rnacentral:rRNA from 1 species
GUUCCCGUACGAUCACCGAAGUUAAGCAACGUCGAGCCUGGUUAGUACCUAGAUGGGUAACCACUUAAGAAAUCAGGUAC